rnacentral:rRNA from 1 species
UAUGGUCCUUUUUUUCCCUCCUCCUCUUUCCCCCGUCGUUCCCCCGCUUUGUCCGGAAUUACUGGGUGUAAAGGGAGCGCAGGCGGGAAGACAAGUUGGAAGUGAAAUCCAUGGGCUCAACCCAUGAACUGCUUUCAAAACUGUUUUUCUUGAGUAGUGCAGAGGUAGGCGGAAUUCCCGGUGUAGCGGUGGAAUGCGUAGAUAUCGGGAGGAACACCAGUGGCGAAGGCGGCCUACUGGGCACCAACUGACGCUGAGGCUCGAAAGUGUGGGUAGCAAACAGG